CCCUUAGAUGUUCUGGGCCGCACGCGCGCUACACUGAUACAUGCAACGAGUUUAUAACCUUGAUCUGACGGUCUGGGUAAUCUUCAAACUGUAUCGUGUUAGGGAUCGAUUCUUGCAAUUUUUAAUCAUAAACGAGGAAUUCCUAGUAAACGCAAGUCAUCAGCUUGCAUUGAUUACGUCCCUGCCCUUUGUACACACCGCCCGUCGACUCUACCAUUGAAUGGUUCGGUGAAAACUUUGGACUGUGGCAUUGUCCUUCAUUGGACUUCGCCGUAGGAAAUUGUUUAAACCUCAUCAUUUAGAGGAAGAAUAAGUCGUAACA
rnacentral:rRNA from 1 species